AGUGAACGCUGGCGGUAGGCCUAACACAUGCAAGUCGAACGGCAGCACAGUAAGAGCUUGCUCUUACGGGUGGCGAGUGGCGGACGGGUGAGGAAUACAUCGGAAUCUACUUUUUCGUGGGGGAUAACGUAGGGGAACUUACGCUAAUACCGCAUACGACCUACGGGUGAAAGCAGGGGAUCUUCGGAUCUUGCGCGAUUGAAUGAGCCGAUGUCGGAUUAGCUAGUUGGCGGGGUAAAGGCCCACCAAGGCGACGAUCCGUAGCUGGUCUGAGAGGAUGAUCAGCCACACUGGAACUGAGACACGGUCCAGACUCCUACGGGAGGCAGCAGUGGGGAAUAUUGGACAAUGGGCGCAAGCCUGAUCCAGCCAUACCGCGUGGGUGAAGAAGGCCUUCGGGUUGUAAAGCCCUUUUGUUGGGAAAGAAAAGCAGCAGGUUAAUACCCCGCUGUUCUGACGGUACCCAAAGAAUAAGCACCGGCUAACUUCGUG
rnacentral:rRNA from 1 species